rnacentral:tRNA from 1 species
GGUGGCUCACUGGUAGAGUGCUUGCCUCCCAUGCAUAAGACCCUGGGUUCGAUUCUCAGCACCA